UACGUAGGUGGCGAGCGUUAUCCGGAAUGAUUGGGCGUAAAGGGUGCGUAGGCGGCCUGCUAAGUCUGGAGUGAAAGGUACCGGCUCAACCGGUACAGGCUCUGGAAACUGGCGGGCUAGAGAGCAGGAGAGGGCGGUGGAACUCCAUGUGUAGCGGUAAAAUGCGUAGAUAUAUGGAGGAACACCAGUGGCGAAGGCGGCUUCCUGGUCUGCAACUGACACUGAGGCGCGAAAGCGUGGGGAGCAAACAGG
rnacentral:rRNA from 1 species